UAAGUGCUUGCACUUUUUGGACGUCGACCGGCGCACGGGUGAGUAACGCGUAUCCAACCUUCCCAUGACUAAGGGAUAACCUGCCGAAAGGCAGACUAAUACCUUAUGGUCUUCACUGACGGCAUCAGAUGUGAAGUAAAGAUUUAUCGGUUAUGGAUGGGGAUGCGUCUGAUUAGCUUGUUGGCGGGGUAACGGCCCACCAAGGCAACGAUCAGUAGGGGUUCUGAGAGGAAGGUCCCCCACAUUGGAACUGAGACACGGUCCAAACUCCUACGGGAGGCAGCAGUGAGGAAUAUUGGUCAAUGGGCGAGAGCCUGAACCAGCCAAGUAGCGUGCAGGAUGACGGCCCUAUGGGUUGUAAACUGCUUUUGUAUGGGGAUAAAGUCAAUCACGUGUGAUUGUUUGCAGGUACCAUACGAAUAAGGACCGGCUAAUUCCGUGCCAGCAGCCGCGGUAAUACGGAAGGUCCGGGCGUUAUCCGGAUUUAUUGGGUUUAAAGGGAGCGUAGGCUGGAGAUUAAGUGUGUUGUGAAAUGUAGACGCUCAACGUCUGACUUGCAGCGCAUACUGGUUUCCUUGAGUACGCACAACGUUGGCGGAAUUCGUCGUGUAGCGGUGAAAUGCUUAGAUAUGACGAAGAACUCCGAUUGCGAAGGCAGCUGACGGGAGCGCAACUGACGCUGAAGCUCGAAGGUGCGGGUAUCGAACAGGAUUAGAUACCCUGGUAGUCCGCACAGUAAACGAUGGAUGCCCGCUGUUGGUACUUGGUAUCA
rnacentral:rRNA from 1 species